rnacentral:rRNA from 1 species
UGGGGAAUUGUUCGCAAUGGGCGCAAGCCUGACGACGCAACGCCGCGUGGAGGAUGAAGAUCUUCGGGUCGUAAAGCUCUGUGGGGAGGGACGAAUAAGUAUUGGCUAACAUCCAAUAUGAUGACGGUACCUCCUUAGCAAGCACCGGCUAACUCUGUGCCAGCAGCCGCGGUAAGACAGAGGGUGCAAACGUUGUUCGGAAUUACUGGGCGUAAAGCGCGUGUAGGCGGCGUAGCAAGUCGGGCGUGAAAGCCCACGGCUCAACCGUGGAAGAGCACUCGAAACUGCUGCGCUAGAGUUCUGGAGAGGAAGGCGGAAUGCUUGGUGUAGAGGUGAAAUUCGUAGAUAUCAAGCGGAACACCGGUGGCGAAGGCGGCCUUCUGGACAGUGACUGACGCUGAAACGCGAAAGCGUGGGGAGCAAACAGGAUUAGAUACCCAAGUAGUCCCUGAGCGGGCUGGCAAGGCG